rnacentral:lncRNA from 10 species
AGGGCGAGGCCUGGGGUAGGGCCAGGAUAAGCCUCACUGGGGCAGGUCCUGGGUAGAGACCAGGUUGGCGGGUCUUGGGGCGGGGCCAGGAUAGGGCGAUCCUGGAAGCUGGGCUUCGGAAGCGUCCAGGUUGGUGGCGUCCUGGAGGCAGUGCCUUGCGUGGGGGCAGGAUAAGAGUCCUGGAGGCGGGCAUUAGGGCGGGGAUAAACGCCAUUGGGUUCAGGAGGCGGGACUCAGAGCAGAGCCCAGGAGACAGGUCUUAGGGCGGGGCUAAGGCCAGACCCAGAGAAGGGCUCAGGAGGCGGGGCAGGGGCGGGGCGUUGACUAUGUCUUGGCACAUGGCCAGGCGGUGCGCGGACUCUGGGAGGCGGAGCUUAGGACGGGCCCACGUGGGGAGGGGCCCAGGGUCCGGGAGGCGGUGCCGAGUCCCGGCUGGGCUGCGCUCAGGAGGCGGGCCCUGGGAGGCGGAGCUUAGGGAGGGGCCGGUGGCGGGAGGGACCCAGGGACUGGGAGGCUGGUCGGGGCUGGGCUCAGGGUCCGAGACCUAGCUGGGCUUGGGGCGGGGCCGAGACGGAGCGAGGGGUCCAGGGUGUGGGAAACGGGGAGGGGUUUGAGGAGAGGAUCGGAAUGUGGCUCAAGUUCGGGAGGCGUUACCUGCGGAGGGUUUGAGGCAGGCCCAGGAGCGAGCCCACGGUCUGCCUACGCGGGGCCAGGGGCGGGCCCCAGGAUCCGGAGCUUCGGGCGGGGCGGAGUCCGAGUUUGGGGCCCGGGAGGCGGGGCCAGUUAGGGUGAGGGUCCCUGGGAUCGACGGGUCAGGUCUUGGGCUAACGUAGGCACUCUCGCAGUUCCUCCGCCUUCAGGAAGGUCUUUUUAGCAGAGGCCUUACGGGUGCGCGCUUCGGUCCUGGAGGCCUUAUCCUAACCUCCUCUCCAUCAGCGCCACCCGUCUGGGGCCCGAAACGAGGGAGCUUUCCCUCUGUCCCCCAGCCUUUGGACUGUCACCAAACAAGCCAUUCGUUCAUCAAAAAUACUUAUUAAGCGCCUACCAUGUGCCUGACAAGGGAGAUGUAACGGUGAGAAAAAGUAGGUGUGGUCCAGGCCCUCCAGGGGCUCAGGGGCUCGUGGAAGAAGUGGACAUUGAAAUACUUAUCACACAAAUGAGGAUAAAAGUACGAUAGCGAUAUCUGCCACGAAGGUGAGCAGACAGAGCUAGCGGGGCUUGCAGGAGGAGUUUUGAUCUUGCAGGGACAGGAAGGAGGAGUUAGCUCCUGCGGGGUGGGAUUGGGGGUGGUGGUGAUAUAGACGUGGGGACAGAGUGGAAAACAACAAAAAUAUAAUUAUUUUAGUUCAAAUAAUAACAAUAAAAAAGCCAUUUUAGAUUCCAAUCCACUGAAAGAAAACUGACCCUUAGUUUAACGGUUUCAAGGUGUAUCCAGGUUGUAGCAUGAAUCAGCCCUUCAUUCCAUAUUGUGGCUGAUUAAUGUUCCAUCACACGGGUGGACUGUACUUGUUUGCUUAUUCAUCUGUUGUUGAUAGACAUUUGUGU